AGAGUUUGAUCCUGGCUCAGGAUGAACGCUAGCGGCAGGCUUAACACAUGCAAGUCGAGGGGCAGCAGGGAGUAGCAAUACUCCGCUGGCGACCGGCGCACGGGUGCGUAACGCGUAUGCAACCUACCUUCAACAGGGAGAUAACCCAGGGAAACCAGGACUAAUAUCCCAUAUAGUCACGGGGCCGCAUGACCCUGUGACGAAAGAAAUUCGGUUUGAGAUGGGCAUGCGUGACAUUAGGUAGUUGGCGGGGCAACGGCCCACCAAGCCGACGAUGUCUAGGGGAGCUGAGAGGCUUAUCCCCCACACUGGUACUGAGACACGGACCAGACUCCUACGGGAGGCAGCAGUGAGGAAUAUUGGUCAAUGGACGGAAGUCUGAACCAGCCAUGCCGCGUGAGGGAAGAAUGCCCUAUGGGUUGUAAACUGCUUUUAUAGGGGAAUAAAGUUAUCCACGUGUGGAUAUUUGUAUGUACCCUAUGAAUAAGGACCGGCUAAUUCCGUGCCAGCAGCCGCGGUAAUACGGAAGGUCCGGGCGUUAUCCGGAUUUAUUGGGUUUAAAGGGUGCGUAGGCUGUCUGUCAAGUCAGAGGUGAAAGCCCGGAGCUUAACUCCGGAACUGCCUUUGAUACUGUCAGGCUGGAAUACGGAUGCCGUGGGAGGAAUGAGUAGUGUAGCGGUGAAAUGCAUAGAUAUUACUCAGAACACCGAUUGCGAAGGCAUCUCACGAAUCCGUCAUUGACGCUGAGGCACGAAAGCGUGGGGAUCAAACAGGAUUAGAUACCCUGGUAGUCCACGCAGUAAACGAUGAUAACUAACCGUCGGCGAUACACAGUCGGUGGCCAAGCGAAAGCGAUAAGUUAUCCACCUGGGGAGUACGUUCGCAAGAAUGAAACUCAAAGGAAUUGACGGGGGCCCGCACAAGCGGAGGAACAUGUGGUUUAAUUCGAUGAUACGCGAGGAACCUUACCCGGGCUCGAACGGCAAGUGAAGAGAUCCAGAGAUGGUGACGCCCUUCGGGGCCUGUAUCGAGGUGCUGCAUGGUUGUCGUCAGCUCGUGCCGUGAGGUGUCGGCUUAAGUGCCAUAACGAGCGCAACCCUUGUCCGAUGUUGCCAUCAGGUAGAGCUGGGCACUCUUCGGA
rnacentral:rRNA from 1 species